GACGAACGCUGGCGGCGUGCCUAAUACAUGCAAGUAGAACGCUGAAGGAGGAGCUUGCUUCUCUGGAUGAGUUGCGAACGGGUGAGUAACGCGUAGGUAACCUGCCUGGUAGCGGGGGAUAACUAUUGGAAACGAUAGCUAAUACCGCAUAAGAGUAGAUGUUGCAUGACAUUUACUUAAAAGGUUCAAUUGCAUCACUACCAGAUGGACCUGCGUUGUAUUAGCUAGUUGGUGAGGUAACGGCUCACCAAGGCAACGAUACAUAGCCGACCUGAGAGGGUGAUCGGCCACACUGGGAGUGAGACACGGCCCAGACUCCUACGGGAGGCAGCAGUAGGGAAUCUUCGGCAAUGGACGGAAGUCUGAGCGAGCAACGCCGAGUGAGUGAAGAAGGUUGUCGGAUCGUAAAGCUCGGUUGUAAGAGAAGAACGAGUGUGAGAGUGGAAAGUUCACACUGUGACGGUAGCUGACCAGAAAGGGACGGCUAACUACGUG
rnacentral:rRNA from 1 species